AGCCGACGCGGUGUCUAGGCUGCGAAGCUGCACUCUGUUCCCGGCACUGCCCUGGGAGGUGCCCCGGGGCGGUCUGAGGUGGGCCCAGCAUUCCGCAUGGUCCCUGCAACUUUGGCCUCUGCCUGGUGACCUCUGGCGGGUGUAGAAGAGCUCAUGCUUCAUUGAGGUGGUGGGGGGCACCCUGAGGACCCUGUCAACGUCAGCUGGACCACAGGCAUCUCGAUAGAUGUAAGCUGGGAUGACGGCUCAGCAGGCUGAGACAGGCCUCCACAAGAGGGUUGAGUAGGAAGCGAUUUCUUCCAGAAUUAGUUCAGCAAACACACGUCCUCCACUUGGAGCAGGAGCCAAGUGGAGUCACAGGGCCACCAAGAUGAAAGAGACUGAGCCCUUCCCUGUGCCAGAAUUCCUACCUGGUCUUAGCAGGCCUCGCCGAUGGGCUUGUGGCUGUGUUUCCCGUGGUGCGGGGCGCCCCAAAGGACAGCUGCUCCUACCUGUGCUCACACACAGCCAACAGGUCCAAGUUCAGCAUCGCGGACGAAGACGCACGGCAGAACCCCUACCCCGUGAAAGCCAUGGAGGUGGUGAACAGCGGCUCUGAGGUCUGGUACAGCAAUGGGCCGGGCCUCCUUGUCAUCGACUGUGCCUCCCUGGAGAUCUGCAGGCGGCUGGAGCCCUACGUGGCCCCCUCCGUGGUUACGUCAGUCGUGUGCAGCUCUGAGGGCAGAGGGGAGGAGGUCGUUUGGUGCCUGGACGACAAGGCCAACUCCUUGGUGAUGUACCACUCCACCACCUACCAGCUGUGUGCCCGGUACUUCUGCGGGGACCCCAGCCCCCUCAGGGACAUGUUUCCUGUGCGGGCCUUGGACACGGAACCCCCAGAAGCCAGCCACACGGCCAACCCAAAGGUGCCUGAGGGGGACUCCAUCGCGGAUGUGAGCAUCAUGUACAGUGAGGAGCUGGGCACGCAGAUCCUGAUCCACCAGGAAUCACUCACUGACUACUGCUCCAUGUCCUCCUACUCCUCAUCCCCACCCUGCCAGGCUGCCAGGUCCCCCUCAAGCCUCCCCAGCUCCCCAGCAAGUUCUUCCAGUGUGCCUUUCUCCACUGACUGUGAGGACUCAGACAUGCUACACGAGCCCUGUGCUGCCUCCGACAGGUCUGAGCAUGACCUGACCCCCAUGGACGGGGAGACCUUCAGCCACCACCUGCAGGCCGUGAAGAUCCUCGCCGUCAGAGACCUCAUUUGGGUCCCCAGGCGCGGUGGAGAUGUUAUCGUCAUUGGCCUGGAGAAGGAUUCUGGCGCCCAGCGGGGCCGAGUCAUUGCCGUCUUAAAAGCCCGAGAGCUGACUCCACAUGGGGUGCUGGUGGAUGCUGCUGUGGUGGCAAAGGACACUGUUGUGUGCACCUUUGAAAACGAAAACACAGAGUGGUGCCUGGCUGUCUGGAGGGGCUGGGGCGCCAGGGAGUUUGACAUUUUCUACCAGUCCUACGAGGAGCUGGGCCGGCUGGAGGCUUGCGCACGCAAGAGAAGGUAAUUCCUGUGGAAUGACUGUCACAUCAGAGCUGGCUGGCCCCGGGCUGCAGCCUGACCCCUCUGCCAUCGGCCUCUAGUUCUCCAAGGACCUAGAAGACAGAGGGAGUGCUGCCCCUGAACUCCUUGCUGCUAAGACGUGCUGAGAAGUUACCUGCCUGGAGCAGAGUUCUCUGAAUACCCCAUCCCCCAACUGCUGCUUUUACAGCCCCAGGGAAGACAGUGGUAUCAGGCUGGGAGGGGCCUCCUCUGGCCUUCUCCAUCAGUUUGCAGGAGCAGGGGUGGAGGAGCCUGUUCUGAGCUGGGUCAAACAAAGCAGAGCCGGGCCUUCCUGCCAUCCCCAGGUCUCAGAUGGAAUUACACUAGAGGCCCUCCGCUGGGAAACAGUUGAGGUAGGGCGGGAGGGGGGCUGUGACCCCUGCCCUUUCCCCGCUGGAGACCUCAGGCUCUCAGCACAUUCCACAGGCUCCUGAGUCCCCGAGGCCUGGGCCAGCUUGGGCAAGCCAAGAUCAGAUGUCUCUGUGUUCGGGAAGGUCUCUGUGUGGGAAAGCCCUCGGAGGACCCUGGGUGAGGAUCGUUGCCCCAUUCAGAGAAUGAAUGAGUUCCUUUAAGUGCCACAGCCAGAAAGCCCAGAGGCACAUAGUGCCAGUGCAUCAGCUUCGCCUUUACAUUCUUCUCCACCGACAAAAGGAAGGGGAAACUCAAUCAGCAGGACUUCAGAAAGGGCCUUGUGUUUAUAGCUUUGUCAAGUAAAUUUGGACGCAGCUGGAGCACAAGCCCUGUUUGUUUGCACAUAAUAAUCUUGUUUAUCACUUAAAAAAAUUCAGUAAUAUCUCAGCGGUCAGGCUUCUGGUUGUGAAAUCACAUUGUAUGGGAUUUAUACCAAAUUAUGUAUUUGCUAAACAUUCACUGCACACGUGUACAGCAGAGUACGAAAAGGAACGCUGUCCGCAGGGGAUUUAUGGAUACUUAUGCACAUACAUGCAUUACACACAUGCACACAUAUACGCACACACAUGUGCAAACAUGGCCACUUUUUUGUCAAGAGUUACCCUUUGGGCCUCCUUAAAUCAGAAUGGGAGUUUGAAAGAGAUCAUACUCCCGCUGAAGUUUGUUGACCCUUUUCUAAAAUUAAAAGGAUCAAAUUUAGUAUUUGCUGGAUAUGCAGGGAGAUGAGACUCCUUUAAUAUCUCAGAAUAAACAGAUUAUUUC
rnacentral:sRNA from 1 species